rnacentral:rRNA from 1 species
CACCUAUCUUCGGAUAGAAGCGAGUGGCGAACGGCUGAGUAACACGUGGAGAACCUGCCCCCUCCCCCGGGAUAGCCGCCUGAAAGGACGGGUAAUACCGGAUACCCCGGGGUGCCGCAUGGCACCCCGGCCUAAAGCCCCGACGGAGGGGAUGGCUCCGCGGCCCAUCAGGUAGACGGCGGGGUGACGGCCCACCGUGCCGACAACGGGUAGCCGGGUUGAGAGACCGACCGGCCAGAUUGGGACUGAGACACGGCCCAG